CGUUCCCAUUCCGAACACGACGGUUAAGCCUUUAGAAGCCGAUGGUACUGCACGGGAGACUGUGUGGGAGAGUAGGUGGUCGCCAGGU
rnacentral:rRNA from 1 species